GGUUUCGUGGUGUAGUGGUUAUCACGUCUGCUUCACACGCAGAAGGUCGCGUGUUCGAGCCUCGCCGAAACCU
rnacentral:tRNA from 1 species